rnacentral:lncRNA from 1 species
GUUUUUUUGAGAUGGCAUCUCACUCCAGGCUGGAGUGCAGUGGCACGAUCUCGGCUCGCUGCAACCUCCGCCUCCCAAGUUCAAGCCAUUCUCCUGCCUCAGCCUCCUGGGUAGCUGGGACUACAGGCACGUGCCACCAUGCCCGGCUAAUUUUUGUAUUUUUUUUAGUAGACAAGGGUUUCAUCGUGCUGGCCAGUCUGGUCUUGAACUCCUGACCUCAAGUGAUCCGCCCGCCUCAGCCUCCCAAAGUGCUGGGAUUACAGGCAUAAGCCAUCGUGCCCAGCCAAAAUUGGGUUUUAAAAAUGCAUAUGCUUAAUAUAUUAACAACAGUUGAAACAUGAAGCCCCUCAACUUCUUGGAAAGAUUAAAAAACACAAUUAUAACUAUUCUACAAACAUGCA